GCCGCAAGGUUAAAACUCAAAUGAAUUGACGGGGGCCUGCACAAGCGGUGGAGCAUGUGGUUUAAUUCGAUGCAACGCGAAGAACCUUACCUGGUCUUGACAUCCACAGAACCCUGUAGAGAUACGGGGGUGCCUUCGGGAACUGUGAGACAGGUGCUGCAUGGCUGUCGUCAGCUCGUGUUGUGAAAUGUUGGGUUAAGUCCCGCAACGAGCGCAACCCUUAUCCUUUGUUGCCAGCGGUCCGGCCGGGAACUCAAAGGAGACUGCCAGUGAUAAACUGGAGGAAGGUGGGGAUGACGUCAAGUCAUCAUGGCCCUUACGACCAGGGCUACACACGUGCUACAAUGGCGCAUACAAAGAGAAGCGACCUCGCGAGAGCAAGCGGACCUCAUAAAGUGCGUCGUAGUCCGGAUUGGAGUCUGCAACUCGACUCCAUGAAGUCGGAAUCGCUAGUAAUCGUGGAUCAGAAUGCCACGGUGAAUACGUUCCCGGGCCUUGUACACACCGCCCGUCACACCAUGGGAGUGGGUUGCAAAAGAAGUAGGUAGCUUAACCUUCGGGAGGGCGCUUACCACUUUGUGAU
rnacentral:rRNA from 1 species